rnacentral:snoRNA from 1 species
UGGAGGACUGAGAAGGUAAGACAGUUUAGACUUCACACUGUACUUUACUGGUUAUAGCCUCCAACAUUAUAAUAGUGGCAAUGGCAACUCAUGUUCCCCUCCUGACAUGAGGGAAGGCAGUACUGCAUUUG